rnacentral:rRNA from 1 species
AACGAACGCUGGCGGCAGGCUUAACACAUGCAAGUCGAACGCAUCCUUCGGGGUGAGUGGCAGACUGGUGAGUAACGCGUGGGAACGUGCCCUUCAGUUCGGGAUAACCCAGGGAAACUUGGGCUAAUACCGGAUACGUGCGAGAGCAGAAAGAUUUAUCGCUGAAGGAUCGGCCCGCGUCUGAUUAGCUAGUUGGUGGGGUAAUGGCCCACCAAGGCGACGAUCAGUAGCUGGUCUGAGAGGAUGAUCAGCCACAUUGGGACUGAGACACGGCCCAAACUCCUACGGGAGGCAGCAGUGGGGAAUAUUGGACAAUGGGCGCGAGCCUGAUCCAGCCAUGCUGCGUGAGUGAUGAAGGCCUUAGGGUUGUAAAGCUCUUUCGUCCGGGACGAUAAUGACGGUACCGGAAGAAGAAGCCCCGGCUAACUUCGUGCCAGCAGCCGCCGUAA